GAGAGAGAGAGAGAGAGAGAGAGACUUUGGUUCUUCAGAAAGGAUGGAGAGAGGAGCAAAGGAAUCUCAACAGCAAAGCCUUUGAAAAUUGAGAGCUGAACGGAGGGACCUCGUUAAGAACCCUGAAAUGCUCUUGAACUGGCUGUUGAAAGGAUGAUGACUGACUGUCGUGGGUAGAGAACGAAAAAGCUAACGGAGGACGAAUGGAAUGCAGUAGCAUGAAAAAGGACCCGGCUGGCCAGAGCUCUGAAAGACAGUGCAUUCCACGCUGCAAUGUCUUGUUGCAGGCCCCACUCGUUUUGACGAUAACAAAUAUCAGAUUCACAGGAACAGGAGGAAGUACAAUGGGGAGAAAUGACAUAGAUGUUCAACAUGGCUGGCAGAAAAAGCCGCAUUUUCCAAACAGGAAGGCAACAGUCGCAAUCCAGGUGAGCACAUUUGAUAGGUUGUUUUAAACAGUUCUUUUUUUCUGGGGGGACACAGGGGUACACACAGCCCUAAACAUUUUGUGAAUCUAACAGGAGAAGAAACUAAAAAAAAAAUAAGAAUAAAAAUAGUUUCUUCUCUAGCACGGUGAAUCGUUGGUUCCGUUGCUACUCCCGAUGGCGGCCUCAUUUCUUAUCACGGUGUUUCCUAAGUCUCAGACAGAAGUGAAUGUUUAAUGUGUGAAGCAGGAGUUGGAAUCUAGCAUGGUGAUUGGUCAGUUUCGUUGUUACCACCUCCAAUGGUGGCUUCAUUUCCUUUCCCAGUGUUUCCUGAGUCCCAGUUGGAAGUGAUCAUUUAAUGUGUGAAGCAGUGUGGAAUGGAUUUAAACACUGUAGCCAACUUAACGUUUAUAAAAUUGGUAGGCCCUCUGUGUUUGUUUAAGCCUUCAGUGUAUGGUUUUUGAAAGGAUGACACCUGGCGACGGACACCAACAGCAAACAGAGGAAUCGGGAAUAUGUUAGUGCACACAACCUCACGCCAAUGUGGAAGUUACUGUGAGCUGUCAGCUGUGUAAUAUGAGGUUAUGCAUGUUCUUUGUACUUUGGUCCAUUUGCUGUAUUUAUUUCCCCCAAUUUGAACUAGAAAAUUGUGAUUUUCUUGAGUCAAAAUGAGAGUACUCCUAUUUUUUAAAAAUGAAAAAAGCACUGUUUUUAAGGUACCUACUUAUCUCAUGACAGUUCUUGCCAGCACCUGCAAUUCUGUAAGAAUGGCUUUCGGAUUUCAUUUUGUGUUGAUGUUUUUCUUACAUUAUGACUCAUAGCUGUAAGAUGAAUGCAGACAAGUUGAGAUGUGGAUGUCCAAAUCACACAAAAUCCUAGCCAUGAGGGCUAUACUCUGCUUCCUCAGUUGGAGUCAGUAGUGCGUCUGAGUACCAGUUGCUGGAAGCCACAGGAUGCUCUCAGAUCCUGCUUCUGAGUUUCCCUCUGGCAUCUGGUUGAGCCACUGUGAGAACAGGAUGCUGGACACCAGAUGGGCUGCUGGCCUGAUCCAGCAGGCUCUUCUGGUGUUCGUUAAAUGAAAUGACAAAAACCCUAAAAUGAAAACUAACACAAAUGCAUUUUGAUUGAAGGUCUUCUUCAGUGGUUUCUGGCAAAGAUACUUACAGUACAGCAGUACCUCUCCGCUUACGUAAUCCUCUGGUUACGUAAACUUUGGGAAACCCAGAAGUAUUUUACCGGGUUUUGCCACGCACGCAUGCGCAGAAGUGCUCCUCUGGUUGUGAAAACCUCAGGAUCUGGCCAGACCUCUGGAAUGGAUCCUGCCUGCAGCCAGAGGUACCACUGUAUAUAAGAAAGAAAGAAAGAAAGAAAGAAAGAAAGAAAGAAAGAAAGAAAGAAAGAAAGAAAGAGAAAGAAAGACUUGUGACUCUCCAAAUGUUGACAUUAAACUCCCAUCAUCCCUGACCAUUGACCAUCCUGGAGUUGUAGUCCAAUGUUCCUCACCCCAGAAUUGUAGAAUGGAGCAGAGAAGGGAACUCAAAAAGAGUUUGCCACAGGGCCAAAGUUCUCUCUGUAGGCCGAUGCAGAAAUCUUCCCUGUUCUUCUAUGCCCAUGUUCAAUUUGACAUGCCCGCCACAGCCGUCUCGACUAAAAUAAAUGCAUAACGGAUAAAAUGAGAGCCAAUAAUGAAGGAUGACCUCUCCCAGCUGCAGUGGGCUCUCCUUUAAACCCUUGGCGAAGAUCAUUAGUGUCUUGUCGUAAAUGCAAAGCUAAAGGUUAUUGUUAUUGCCAGAGCUGUCAAUCUCCUUUGCAAAUAAUGAGAGCAACGAGAGGCGCAGCAGCAGCAGCAGCAGCGGUGGCGAACGGCCACUUGAAACAGUUGGAAUCCCUCUGUGCUCUUGCACGCUUCCCUUUUUUGGGAAGGAAAAAAGAGCUUUCGGAGCCGUUGCAAAUGGCAGUUAAGAAUAACAGAUCUCCGCAGCCUGUCUGGCUCCAGGGUCAUUUAACUCAUAUACCGGCACUGGCAGCUUGAAGGGGAAUCGAGAACGGAAGCCAGCUAUGCGUGGAAAUCCUUUAUUUUUGAUUUGUAAUGUCUCAGCAUGGAGGAUCAUGGGAAAUCAAGAGAGAUUUCUUGUGUUGCUUUUUUUUAAAAAAGCACGAGCUCAGAAGCACUCUCUCUUUUGCAGCCAGUGUGGUGUAAUGGUUGGUUUGUUGGACUAUGACCUGGCAGGCUGGGGUUCAAAUCCUCCCUUAACCUUCAGCUCACAGGGUUGUUGUGAGGAUAAAAUGAGGAGGGGAGAACCAUGUACCCUUGAGAGCUGCUUGGAGGAAAAGGUGGUAUAUAAAUCUAACAAACAAACAAACAAACAAACAAAUUGGUGCAAAUUGAACCAUAUGUACCACCCUAUCAAACUAAUUAUUAGUCUGGCUUUUAAUCUGUUUGUUUUGCAUUUACUUUUGUGGGAUGUGAAACUUAUAGCAGUCAAGUACAACAUUCCUACAGUGGACAUGAUGGGGAAUGUUUUGUAUCACUUGGGAGAAAACUUCCUGUUUCCUCCUCAGCUGGGACAGACUUCCACUGCAUGUGACUUGAAGUGGGUGUGGCCUAUUCUGGGUAGAGGAGCACAUCUCCUUCUGCUUCUUUUUCUUCUCCAUUUUUGUUUUCCUAUGUAUUAGGAGAAGUGACUGCUCAGUCGCAGUCACUUGGGACUAACUCCCUUAUGGGAUAGUUCAUGUAGAUAUGUACUUUUGUAACCUAAGUCUGCCUUUUGGGGAUCUAACUGUGAACUGAAUGAUUGUAAGUAAACUACUUUUACAUUGACUUUAAUAAGACUGCCGUGUCUAUUCUUUUCAAGAGGGACAAGAAGGGAUCUUAUCAGGAAUCUGAUAUUGAGAGGCUCAGAUGAGCCUGCAACAAGUUAACCGCUGUGCGAUUAAAGGGGAAUGUUUAAACCAGGCAUCCCCAAACUGCGGCCCUCCAGAUGUUUUGUAACUACAACUCUCAUGAUCCCUAGCUAACAGGGCCAGUGGUCAGGGAUCAUGGGAGUUGUAGUCCCAAAACAUCUGGAGGGCCGCAAUUUGGGGAUGCCUGGUUUAAACUCUGCUAAGAUACAGAACUUCCUAACCCAAGUUAGGAAGCAUAUCACCAAACAAUAUAUCCUCUCCUGCCUCCCUGAACAUUCCCACAACUUUUUAAUGAUUGGUUUGGUAUGUUGUAUUUUUGCAUUGUGCUUCACACCACUUUCUGAUUCUCAAGAAAAAAGAAAUGAAAAGUGGUAUAGAAUAUUUUUAAUUUACACUAAAAAUGAAGAGGAAGGAAAACGAAAACAGAGCAAAACGGUAAAGGAUCCAUAAAGGCAGGGAAAGCUUUUCGGCCCUAGCAUUGGGAAACGGCAGGAAGGAAAGGUGCCCAUGUCUUGUCUUCUGCUUGUGGUUCUCUGUGCCGGCGCCAGCGGAAGAUGCUGCCUGUCUGAUAAACUCGGCCCUCUCCAUCUUCAGGGCCAUUUGCCUUGGGAGCCAGGUUCACGUGAUGCUAUCGGUGGAUGAUUUAUGGCCGUUGCCUCUCGCCUGACAUUUUUGGGGAAAGUUUUCAUUGUUCAUAACCGGCUUGCAAACAACGGCAGACGUUGCAGGUGCAGCAGAAUUUUAAAUGCGAGCGCAAUUAAAUGGGAAGUGGGCCGCCAGCCGCCAGCAGGAAGCUUCCCCGUAAUAAUACAGGAGAGUGGAACUCUCUGCAGUAUUGAUCUUGUGAUGUUUCAGCGAGAGGUUGCUUCAAAGCACAGUUGCUACAUAAUGGCAUAUGGUCUCUCUCCUCUCUCUCUUUCUUUCUCCCUCCCUCUCUCUCCAUUGCUGCUGCUUCAAUAUUUUCUGCAUAGCGAGGAUGCACUCUGCCAACACCUCUGUGGCAAUAAUUGGAUCAGAUGUAUGUUACAAGCGAAAGAUGAUAAAAAAAAAAACAGCUCGCUUGAUUGUUGUUUAAGCUCUGCGGAUAUCUCCCGUCUUGUCCCUUUGAUAGAUUCAGCUCCUUUUUUUUUUU